UACGGGGGGGGCAAGCGUUGUUCGGAAUUACUGGGCGUAAAGGGCUCGUAGGCGGCCAACUAAGUCAGACGUGAAAUCCCCCGGCUUAACCAGGGAACUGCGUCUGAUACUGGAUGGCUUGAGUUUGGGAGAGGGAUGCGGAAUUCCAGGUGUAGCGGUGAAAUGCGUAGAUAUCUGGAGGAACACCGGUGGCGAAGGCGGCAUCCUGGACCAACACUGACGCUGAGGAGCGAAAGCGUGGGGAGCAAACGGG
rnacentral:rRNA from 1 species